rnacentral:rRNA from 1 species
AGGACGAACGCUGGCGGCGUGCUUAACACAUGCAAGUCGAGCGGAAAGGCCCUUUCGGGGGUACUCGAGCGGCGAACGGGUGAGUAACACGUGAGCAACCUGCCCUGGACUUUGGGAUAACCCUCGGAAACGGGGGCUAAUACCGGAUAUUACAUUUUGCCGCAUGGUGGGGUGUGGAAAGUUUUUCGGUUUGGGAUGGGCUCGCGGACUAUCAGCUUGUUGGUGGGUGAUGGCCUACCAAGGCGACGACGGUUAG